UUGCAAUGAUGACCAUCUUAGGACACCUUUGGAAUCCAUAAUGAAAACAACUCUAUUUAUCUGAGCAAC